rnacentral:rRNA from 1 species
GGGUGCGAACAUACCAGCACUAAUGUACCGGUUCCCAUCAGAACUCCGUAGUUAAGCGUGCUUAAGGUAGAGUUGUACUAGGAUGGGUGACCUCCUGGGAAGUCCUCGUGUUGCACCCC